CAGUAGCCACGGGAAUACGGAGGGGGCUAGCGUUGUUCGGAAUUACUGGGCGUAAAGCGCACGUAGGCGGCUUGGUAAGUUAGAGGUGAAAGCCUGGAGCUCAACUCCAGAAUUGCCUUUAAGACUGCCGAGCUAGCAGGUGAGAGAGGUAAGUGGAAUUCCGAGUGUAGAGGUGAAAUUCGUAGAUAUUCGGAAGAACACCAGUGGCGAAGGCGGCCAACUGGUCCGAUACUGACGCUGAGGUGCGAAAGCGUGGGGAGCAAACAGGAUUAGAUACCCCUGUAGUCCCUGUCUCUUAUAC
rnacentral:rRNA from 1 species